AGGUACAGAUGCCCUUAUCUGAUAGGCAUUCGCCUUUUUCUCUUAUUCUGGAAGUACAAUCUAAACUCUCACCUGAGCAAUUUUAAACAUGGAGCAUAUUGUUCUUUAAAUGUUUUGCCUGGUUAUUGUUAUGUUAGAGCUGUUGUUUGGUUGCAUUAGUUAGUUAGCUGAUCAAAAUCAGUCAUUCAUGACUGAUAAACAAGGGCCAGUUAAUGGGCCAAACAGGAAGACACCAUGGAUCACACUCUUUGAGUCAUUAGGUGAUAGAUAAUGGUACAUAAUGCUUAUUAAAGAUAUAGUAUGUAAUUUUAUGUUAUUUGACACAGAACGCCCUCCUCUCUGAAAUGGUAAUUAUAAAAUCCUUGAACAAAGUGUACAGUGGAAAAAUUGCUGGCUAUGUUCAGGAGGUGUUGGAAUAAUCCACUAACAAGGAUGUCCCUUUCCAAGUUGGCGUUUUAGUCAUCAUUUCCAUCCUGUAGCAUUUAUUGAUCACUCGAUGUUACA
rnacentral:misc_RNA from 1 species